rnacentral:lncRNA from 1 species
GCGAAAGGCUCGAGAGAGGCCGCAGGCUAGGAUUGGACCGCCGGGCGCCGCCGGAUGGUGUUGCCAGGGUAACCGGAUGGCACGCGAAGCCGUUCGAGGUUCCGACCCGGUUACGGGGGCGCCCAGUGGACCCGGAGAGCUACUUUGGGGAGGGGGCGGCCCCGAAGAAGGACUGGGUGGGGGCGCAUGGAGCGGGGGCUGCGCGAAAAGUUUCCUGGGGCGGAGCUGAGCCACGCGGGCCGCGCAGGAGCGUCUGUCCGAGGGUCGCCUACGAGGGACUCCUCUGCUCGGCUGCGCGGGCUUCUGCGUUGAUGAAGUCACCGCGUUCCGGGUCGGAGCUUCGGCGCUUCUGCCCCGAACCCAGCGAAGCCCGGUCCUAUGCCCCCAAUUACCCAACGGUCCCUCAUCGCCCAGCGCAGCUGCUGCCUGGCCAGGCCCUUGCUCCGGAGGAGUCACUGGAAAGUUCCAGGGAAUCUGGGCCUCCCGGACUCUCCACCGGCGUUUCACUGCUCCCUUCCCAUGCCAGGACUCCUCUGUGCCUACCUGGUUAGUCUGUAUUUGCAAAAAACAAACAAAAACAACAACAAAAAACAAAUGGGGGGCACUUAAAGGAGGACAGACGCUGGGCGGGGACCUUUCACUGAGAGAAGUGACAUGGGGCGGAAUCCUCUGCAGACCCGCUGACGCCUUGAGAAACCACGGCAAAACCCUGCUUUUAAUCCUCCACAGGCUGAGGGCAGUGCAGAAUCCGGGCCUUGGAAAGGACACUGGUGCCACCCUUCACUGGGGAAAGGUGCAAGGGGCGGGGGAUAUACCAUGCCGAGCCUUCGCUCUGUGCUCUGUGCAGGUGCUUGACCCAGGCCAGCUCUG